UUACUUAGGUUUGAAAAACUAAUUAGAGAAGUCCAUUGCAGUCUCAAAACAAAAUAUAAAAAAACCAAAAACGGGAAAUAACAAAAAGAGAGAAAAACUAAAAAAGGCAUGGUCUUCUCCAUCCAGCAAUCUUUCAGACUCUUUGCGUGUCUACAAUCCCUAAAAAUAAACGGCUAAAUCUUCCAAAUUCUGACAAUGAAUCGCCCAGAAAAAGAAGCUGUUGAGACAAGCAACCAUAUUUCGAAGUUUUUCAACUCAAUCGAUAUCACAGAGAAGAAAUUAUGGAGGUCGACUGAACCAACGAUUAGAAUCGACCACUUCUAAAGCUUUUAAUGGCGCAUCUUCAACCCAGAACGAAUCUCCUUCAGUUCGUAAAGCUUCAACAGCCAUUGUAUGCACUGCUCUAUUCCCUUCUCACGCAAUGAAUUGAAAUCGACAGAAAUGGAAUUUCCUCGCCAGAUUCUUCGCGUCCCAGAAGGGGCAUCCAUUUUACCAUGGAUCGCGGCUGAGGAUGCUUCAAAUUCAAAGCGCUACCUCGAUACUCCAAACCGAAACCCCUAAUGAAGACAAGCAAUCCCGAACAGCAUGAGUAGAUGAUUUGCACAACUGUCGGCAACGCGAAUAUUUGUUAUCAGUGAUCAAUGCAACGCGAAUAUUUGUUAUCAGUGAUAAAUCUCCUAAAAUGUAAGUUCUGAUAAGUAGGUACAUAAUUUUUCACAAAUUUCCAAAAUAAAAUGCAAACUUUUGAAGGA